rnacentral:rRNA from 1 species
AUUGAACGCUAGCGGGAUGCUUUACACAUGCAAGUCGAACGAGUGGCGCACGGGUGAGUAAUAUAUCGGAACGUGCCAAGUAGCGGGGGAUAAAUAGUCGAAAGAGUCGCUUAUACCGCAACCUAAUGGAGCGGCCGAUAUGGGAUUAGCUAGUGGGUGGGGUAAAGGCUCACCAAGGCCACGAUCACGAGCUGGUUUGAGAGGACGACCAGCCACACUGGGACUGAGACACGGCCCAGACUCCGACGGGAGGCAGCAGUGGGGAAGUGUGGACAAUGGGGGAAACCCUGAUCCAGCCAUCCCGCGUGUAUGAGAAGGCCUUCGGGUUGUAAAGUACUUUUGGCAGAGAAGCGGUAUCUGCAGAAUAAGCACCGGCUAACUACGUGCCAGCAGCCGCGGUAAUUC